rnacentral:lncRNA from 1 species
AGCACAUUUCCUACAGGUUCCUUUUUCUUCCUUCAUACUUGAGUAGAAGAGUGAAUGGAUUGAUGAAUCUGGUACAAAGACAAAUAUGGUCACUUAGGAAAACAAGGACCAUUUAGUUCCUACAUAAUUGAAAUCCAGAAGGACCAACCAUCUUCAGGUAUCAGAAAGCACCCCAG